rnacentral:tRNA from 1 species
GGGAAUUUAGCUCAGUGUAGAGCAUUUGCCUAGCAUUUAUAAGUUUCUGGAUUCAAUCUCCAGUACUCCCC